GGCGAGCCGACUCAGUCCCGCUCCGAAAUCAAAAGGCUGAACUCAUCACGAGUCAUAAACUCGGAAAACAACAAACACAAUCUCAAUAUUGAAUCUACUAGAUUUCACCACGGAUUCCGCCUUGCACUGUGUGUGGUGUUUCUUUUUCGCUAUAAUUCUUAACCAGAAACGUUCACAAACCGAUGAUCUUCAUCGAACCUGAGAUCAUAAAGUUUUAGACAUCACCGUACCUUCUGCUGCAAUUUUCAAGGGUCGUCAGCUUUGGACAUGACCGAGAGCCGACUAGAUCUAGGUUGAAAUGCCGCUCUCCUCCUCUGCUGGUGUGAAGAAGGACGAAUCAGAGUAGUCAAUGCACGUUUCACCAACUCACCUUCCACACCGCCGAUUCGCACGAUCGAGUUCGCCAUAGCCGAUCUCCACAUAUUCAAUCGGGUUGAAGGAAACGACGCUGCCUGGCUAUGGCCACCGCUACUCGAAACGUUCUUAUGGAGACUACACCGGAAAGAGCCUGGAUGCGUGGUCGGAGAACACAUACAAGUCCUUUUAACGUUAGACACCGGCCGAUUUUUCCUGGAAACGAUUGCCGAUCGAUUCGGAGAACUCGAACGGUUAUCGAUGAAGAAACGAACAGAAGGAGUAAGAGAAGGAGAUGAAUAAACAUUAACACGGCUAGGAGAUGUGGAUCUAGGUUGAUGAUGAUGGCUGC
rnacentral:misc_RNA from 1 species